rnacentral:lncRNA from 1 species
AAGUAUUUGACAUUUCCUCCUGCUCUUUCUCUUUCCUGCUGCCUUAUCAAGAAGGUACUUGCUUCUCCUUCUCUUUCCACCAUGAUUUAAGUGUGCAGCAAGCAUCAUAGAUCUCCAGUUACUUAAGAAAACUGGGGCACACAGAGUCUAUGUAACUUAUGCACAACUGAGUUGAGAGAUGGGUUAUCAAUUCAAGUCUCUGCUACUACCAAGCCUAUCUUCUUUCUGCUGUACUGUGCUACUUCCACAGGUCACAAAUGGGUGGGAAAGCUCUAACAGGGAAAGAAGCCUAUCAUAUAUUGGUAACAAGAGCAAGAAACAUUAUUUGAAGUCUUAA